rnacentral:rRNA from 1 species
GAUGAACGCUGGCGGCGUGCCUAAUACAUGCAAGUCGAGCGAACAGACGAGGAGCUUGCUCCUCUGACGUUAGCGGCGGACGGGUGAGUAACACGUGGAUAACCUACCUAUAAGACUGGGAUAACUUCGGGAAACCGGAGCUAAUACCGGAUAACAUGUUGAACCGCAUGGUUUAACAGUGAAAGACGGUCUUGCCGUCACUUAUAGAUGGAUCCGCGCCGCAUUAGCUAGUUGGUAAGGUAACGGCUUACCAAGGCAACGAUGCGUAGCCGACCUGAGAGGGUGAUCGGCCACACUGGAACUGAGACACGGUCCAGACUCCUACGGGAGGCAGCAGUAGGGAAUCUUCCGCAAUGGGCGAAAGCCUGACGGAGCAACGCCGCGUGAGUGAAGAAGGUCUUCGGAUCGUAAAACUCUGUUAUUAGGGAAGAACAAAUGUGUAAGUAACUAUGCACGUCUUGACGGUACCUAAUCAGAAAGCCACGGCUAACUACGUG